GCGAGGAUGGCGGAAUUGGCAGACGCACUGGGUUUAGGUUCCAGCGUUUUACACGUGCGGGUUCGAGUCCCGCUCCUCGCA
rnacentral:tRNA from 1 species